UACGUAGGGGGCAAGCGUUGUCCGGAUUUAUUGGGCGUAAAGAGCUCGUAGGCGGUUUGUCGCGUCUGCUGUGAAAACACGAGGCUCAACCUCGCGCCUGCAGUGGGUACGGGCAGACUAGAGUGCGGUAGGGGAGAUUGGAAUUCCUGGUGUAGCGGUGGAAUGCGCAGAUAUCAGGAGGAACACCGAUGGCGAAGGCAGAUCUCUGGGCCGUAACUGACGCUGAGGAGCGAAAGCGUGGGGAGCGAACAGG
rnacentral:rRNA from 1 species